CCCUUAGAUGUUCUGGGCCGCACGCGCGCUACACUGAUGCAUUCAACGAGUCUUCGCCUUGGCCGAGAGGUCCGGGAAACCUUUUGAACUUGCAUCGUGAUGGGGAUAGAUUAUUGCAACUAUUAAUCUUCAACGAGGAAUUCCUAGUAAGCGCAUGUCAUCAGCGUGCGUUGAUUACGUCCCUGCCCUUUGUACACACCGCCCGUCGCUCCUACCGAUUGAAUGAUCCGGUGAGGCCCCCGGACUGUGGCAACGUAGCUGGUUCGCCAGCCGUGAUGCCGCGGGAAGCUGUCCAAACCUUAUCAUUUAGAGGAAGGAGAAGUCGUAACA
rnacentral:rRNA from 1 species